UCUUUUUUCCUUAAGAAAAAGAAGACUGUAAUAAUAGCAAAAAUAUGGUUUGCCCUUUCUCAGUCUCCGCUGCUCAGAAGCCAUGCGGCUUCUCACUUUGCUUAGAGGAAAGACAUGGCUAAAGCAUGCAUCUGCCCUGAUCAGACAAGCCUUCCUUUGUUAACUGCUCCUUCCCUUGCGCAGUUUGCUUUAGCAUAUGAAACCAGUACACCGUCUUCUUCUCUAACCAGACAUGCUUUUCCUUUGGAAUUCACUACCAAGUCAGCAACAUGAUCCCUCUUUCAACAGGACUCACAUUGGUUUCAUGUCCAUCUGCAAGAAUUCAUCCCUUGACAAUUAUACUGUGUGUGACUUCGAUGAGGAAGAAGAGAAAGAAACAUAGACAUAAUAUGAAACCCAUUGUACCUAACGGCUUAUUUCUAUGUAUAAGGACCCAGACUAAGGGAACUUCACAGAAGAGGCAGAAAAAAUGUGAGACCUGGAAGAUGGAGAAGAGUGGUGUUCAAUGCUGUCUUCUGCACAUAAGAUGGUCAUCAUUCUCACAACUUCAUAGAGAACAUCAGCAUUUUGUGGGAUCAGUCUGAGAACUGUUGACACUAUACAGCAAAUAAAGGCACACUCAGAUAUACUGCUGUCAUUGUUUUUAAUAAGAAUUUACAUUCUACCCACAUCUAUAGCUUUCAUUUACUCCCAUUUCUGUUGAACUUUUUCCUAUCAACACCUGUGGAUCUGGCUCCUAUCCUUACUAGUUCAGUUCGUCAGCCACAAUCAUUUUGUUGUAUGACUUUCUGCAGCUGUUAUAUGCUUGGAAUGGCCUUUCAUACCUUUGUCCUUGACAAUAUAUAAACAAAACUGUAAGUCAAGCUUUCAUCUUCUUAAGACAACAGCAAGCCGGGUCACCUUAGGCCCAGAGUCUUCGGACACUCCUAAGGUCCCCAGAGCACUCUCCAUGGGAUCUUAGGACCUCUGGUGAGUGGAACACAACUUCUGCCAGGAGACAGGUUCGAACUCCAGAUAUCUGGGCACCUUCCCUGCAAGAGGAGAGCUUGCCUGCAGAGAGUGCUCUGACCAGUGAAACUCAGGAGAAAUCUACUCUCCCAGGUUUGCUGAUAGAGACUAACAGAAUUACAAGAGGAACAAGCUCUAACCAGAGACAACUACAACAACUGAUUCCAGAGAUUACCAGAUGGCGAGAGGCAAACAUAAGAAUCUUACUGACAGAAGCUAAGACUACUCACCAUCAUCAGAACGUAGCACUCCCACCUCACCCAGUCCUGGGCAACCCCAACACACCUGAAAAGCUAGACAAGGAUUUAAAAGCAUAUCUCAUGAUGAUGGUAGAGGACAUCAAGAAGGACUUUAAUAACUCACUUAAGAAAUUCAGGAGAACACUGAUAAAGUGUUACAAAUCCUUAAAGAAAAACAAGAAAACACAACCAGACAGGUAGAAGUCCUUAAAGAAAAACAGGAAAACACAUCCAAAGAAGUGAUGGAAAUGAACAAAACCAUACUAGACCUAAAAAGCAAAGUAGACACAAUAAAGAAAACCCAAAAUGAGGCGACACUAGAGAUAGAAACCCUAGGAAAGAAAUCUGGAACCAUAGAUGCAAGCAUCAGCAACAGAAUACAAAAGAUGGAAGAGAGAAUCUCAGGUGCAGAAGAUUCCAUAGAGAACAUCGGCACAACAAUCAAAGAAAAUACAGAACGCAAAAAGAUCCUAACUCAAAACAUCCAGGAAAUCCAGGACACAAUGAGAAGACCAAACCUACGGAUAAUAGGAGUAGAUGAGAAUGAAGAUUUUCAACUUAAAGGGCCAUCAAACAUCUUCAACAAAAUUACAGAAGAAAACUUCCCA